GACGAACGCUGGCGGCGUGCUUAACACAUGCAAGUCGAACGGAAAGGCCUGCUUUCCCUUGUGGAUUGCGGGUACUCGAGUGGCGAACGGGUGAGUAACACGUGAGUGAUCUGCCCCCAACUUGGGUAUAAGCCUGGGAAACUGGGUCUAAUUCCCGAUAGGACUGCAGGGUGGUGCCUGUGGUGGAAAACGAUUUUCUAGUGGUUGGGGAUGAGCUCGCGGCCUAUCAGCUUGUUGGUGGGGUAAUGGCCUACCAAGGCGGCGACGGGUAGCCGGCCUGGGAGGGUGGACGGCCACAUUGGGACUGAGAUACGGCCCAGACUCCUACGGGAGGCAGCAGUGGGGAAUAUUGCACAAUGGGCGGAAGCCUGAUGCAGCGACGCCGCGUGAGGGAUGACGGCCUUCGGGUUGUAAACUCCUUUCGACCGCGAGGAAGCCACCUGGUUGGAAGGGUGGUGACGGUAGUGGUAGAAGAAGCACCGGCUAACUACGUG
rnacentral:rRNA from 1 species